AAAUAACUUUAAGGCUUAAAGUGGAUACCUAAGUACUCAAAAUCGAAGAAGGGCGUGGUUACCUGCGAAAUGCUUUGGUAAGUUGGAAACAAACAAUAAUUCAAAGAUUCCCGAAUAGAGCAAUCUUGAAAACUUUCUAAUAAAUUCAUAAUUAGAAAAGAGAAAACUCAGUGAAUUGAAACAUCUAAGUAACUGAAGGAAAAGAAAGCAAACGCGAUUUUCUUAGUAGUGGCGAACGAAACGAAAGAAGCUUAAACUAAACUAAUUUUAGUUUAGGGUUGUGGGGCUGAUAAUUAUAAAAUUUUGAAUGAAACAGCUGAAUCCUGUACCAUAGAUGGUGAAAGUCCAGUAAGAAAAACUAAAAAAACAGAACCCCGAGUAACAUCGAACACGUGAAAUUCGGUGUGAAUCAGCAAGGACCACCUUGUAAAGCUAAAUAUUUUUGAGUAACUGAUAGCGAAAAAGUACCGUGAGGGAAAGGUGAAAUAGAACCCUUAUAAGGGAGUGAAAUAGAACAUGAAAUUUUAAGCUUACAAAUUGUGGGAGGUUUUUUAAGACUAACCAUAUGCCUGUUGAAGAAUGAGCCGGCGACUUAUAAAAAAUGGCUUGGUUAAGAAUAAAAUUUUCGAAGCCUUAGUGAAAGCGAGUUUUAAUAGAGCAUUAAAGUCAUUUUUUAUAGACCCGAACCCAGGUGAUCUAACUAUGACCAGGAAGAAACUUAGGUAAAACUAAGUGAAAGUCCGAACUGACUAAUGUUGAAAAAUUAGCAGAUGAGUUGUAGUUAGGGGUGAAAUGCCAAUCGAACCUGGAGCUAGCUGGUUCUCCCCGAAAUGUGUUGAGGCACAGCAAUUAGUGAAGGAUUAUUUAGGGGUAAAGCACUGUAUUGAUACGGGCUGUGAAAGCGGUACCAAAUCAUAGCAAACUUAGAAUACUAAAUAUUUCUGCCAUUAAUAAGUGGGACAGUGGGGGAUAAGCUUCAUUGUCAAAAGGGAAACAGCCCAGACCACCGGCUAAGGUCCCUAAAUAGUUACUAAGUGUUAAAGGAAGUGUAGAUGCAAAAACAAUCAGGAGGUUUGCUUAGAAGCAGCAAUCCUUCAAAGAGUGCGUAAUAGCUCACUGAUAUAGCGUUUAUGCGCCUAAAAUGAUCGGGACUAAGUAAUUUACCGAUGCCGUGGGAUAGUUUUAAACUAUCGGUAGGGGAGCGUUCUGUUUUAGGGUGAAGUAUAUUUUUAAAAAUUUAUGGACGAAACAGAAGUGAGAAUGUCGGCUUGAGUAACGAAAACAUUGGUGAGAAUCCAAUGCUCCGAAAAUUUAAGGGUUCCUCCACUAGGCUCGUCCUUGGAGGGUUAGUCAGGUCCUAAGAUUUAAUCGAAAGAUAUCAUCGAUGGAAAACAGGUUAAUAUUCCUGUACUAAUUUUUAUUGAAUAUCGGAGGACGAAGGCGGCUACGUUAGCUGAAGAUUGGAUUUCAGUGUAACUAUUUGAAGUAAAAAGUACGAAAAAAAACGGCUUUAUCAACUAAAAUAGGAUACAAUAGCUUUUUCUUAAAAAGCUAUUUAACUUAUGUCAAACUUCCAAGAAAAGUCCGGAAUAUUAAGCAAUAAAAAUUAUCUGUACCGUAAACCAACACAGGUAAAUAAGUAGAGUAUACUAAGGAGCGCGAGAAAACUCUCUUUAAGGAACUCGGCAAAAUAGCCCCGUAACUUCGGGAGAAGGGGUACCUUCAAAGGUUGCAGUGACCAGACCCAGGCGACUGUUUACCAAAAACAUAAGUCUCCGCAAAGUCGUAAGACAAAGUAUGGGGGCUGACGCCUGCCCAGUGCCGGAAGGUAAAGGAAAUUAGUUAUUUUUUUAAAGAAGCUAAUAACUGAAGCCCCGGUGAACGGCGGCCGUAACUCUGACGGUCCUAAGGUAGCGAAAUUCCUUGUCGCGUAAGUUGUGACCCGCACGAAAGGCGUAACGAUCUGGGUACUGUCUCAAAGAGAGACUCGGUGAAAUAAUAAUGUUUGUGAAGAUACAAACUUCUUACACCUGGACAGAAAGACCCUAUGAAGCUUGACUGUAUCCUGGAAUUGAGUUUGGAUUUUAUUUGCGCAGUCUAGGUGGGAGGCUAUGAUUGUAUUUUUUUGGAAAUACAUGAGCCGUUAUUGAGAGACCACUCUUAAAAAAUUAAAAUUCUAAUAAUGGUCCUUAUUUUGGACGUUUGACAGUUUUAGGUGGACAGUUUUUUUGGGGCGAAAACCUCCUAAAAGGUAACGGAGGUGUACAAAGGUUCCCUCAGACUGGACGGAAAUCAGUCGUAGAGCGCAAAGGCAAAAGGGAGCUUAACUGCAAGACUGACAGGUCGAGCAGAGGCGAAAGCCGGUCUUAGUGAUCCGACGAUACUGUGUGGAAAGGUCGUCGCUCAACGGAUAAAAGUUACUCUAGGGAUAACAGGCUGAUCUUCCCCAAGAGUUCAUAUCGACGGGAAGGUUUGGCACCUCGAUGUCGGCUCAUCGCAACCUGGGGCGGUAGCACGUCCCAAGGGUUGGGCUGUUCGCCCAUUAAAGCGGUACGUGAGCUGGGUUCAGAACGUCGUGAGACAGUUUGGUCCAUAUCCGGUGUAAGCGUAAGAACAUUGCGAGGUGCUUUCCAUAAUACGAGAGGACUUGGAAAGAUAUACCACUGGUGUACCAGUUCUUGUUCCAACAGGAAACGCUGGGUAGCUAAGUAUGGAGUGGAUAACUGCUGAAAGCAUCUAAGUAGGAAGCCCACCUCAAGAUGAGUGUUCUUUUGUAAAUCUGAGUUAGAACAACUCAUUAAUAGGAAUUCAGUGUAAAAUAAGUAAUUAUUUUAGCUAAGAUUUACUAAAGAUUGAAUUUUUUAAUAAUU
rnacentral:rRNA from 1 species